UUUUCACUAGGGUGCACCUGGGCACGAUAUUGAGAAUUGUUAUCUGUAACACCCCAAAAUUUGCCCUCCUCAUUCACGCACUCAUACAUUGCAUUUCAUCGUGUCAAUCGGGAUUAGCUCCACGAAACUUGAAUAUCAUCCAAGAUACAAAAAAAAAAUGAAAAAAAUAAAUAAAUUAAAUAAAUAAUUAAAUAAAUAAAUAAAUAAAAGAAAAAAUCUCAAACUUGGACCUCUCUCAAAAGCCCACUAAGCUACCAAUAUUAGCCUAUAAAUACUAGAGUUUCAUUGAAACAA
rnacentral:lncRNA from 1 species